rnacentral:sRNA from 1 species
GCAGAAGAUGAGGUGGACCUGGACAGGCGGGCAUAUGCUGGUCAGUACAUCUCCUGAGAGCAGGGCUACUUUGCCUCGAGGCCCUUGGGUCUGGGGGCUGUGGGCCAGGUAGGGCAGGUCAGCAGUGUCCUCAUGCCAACCCCUUUCCCCUAGUGUGGGUCUCAGAGGUCAUGCUGCAGCAGACCCAGGUUGCCACUGUGAUCAACUACUAUACCGGAUGGAUGAAGGUGACUCCAGGGGAGGAAGGGAAGGGUCAUGGGUCAGACCCCAGAUGAGAGCCUGUACUUUGGGGUGGGUGUAGAGAAGGCUUCCUCUACCACCUUCGCCCUUGACCUUGUCUUUUUCUGCCUGCCUGUGGCUAUAGAAGUGGCCUACACUGCAGGACCUGGCCAGUGCUUCCCUGGAGGAGGUGAAUCAACUCUGGGCUGGCCUGGGCUACUAUUCUCGUGGCCGGCGGCUGCAGGAGGGAGCUCGGAAGGUAAGGGGAUGGCAGGAGGGUAGGAACCCAGGAGUCUUGGGUGUCUCAUAAUCUUGAGUCUUGCACUCCAAUCAGGUGGUAGAGGAGCUAGGGGGCCACAUGCCACAUACAGCAGAGACCCUGCAGCAGUUCCUGCCUGGCGUGGGGCGCUACACAGCUGGGGCCAUUGCCUCUAUCGCCUUUGGCCAGGCAACCGGUGUGGUGGAUGGCAACGUAGCACGGGUGCUGUGCCGUGUUCGAGCCAUUGGUGCUGAUCCCAACAGCACCCUUGUCUCCCAGCAGCUCUGGUAGGAUGUUGGGGUAACAAGGGUGCUUCAGGGGUGUCUCCAAAGGAGCUCUGGCUCACAGCAGUGUUCCCUUCUUUUAGGGGUCUAGCCCAGCAGCUGGUGGACCCAGCCCGGCCGGGAGAUUUCAACCAAGCAGCCAUGGAGCUAGGUGCCACAGUGUGUACCCCA